rnacentral:rRNA from 1 species
UACGUAGGUGGCAAGCGUUGUCCGGAAUUAUUGGGCGUAAAGCGCGCGCAGGCGGUCCUUUAAGUCUGAUGUGAAAGCCCACGGCUCAACCGUGGAGGGUCAUUGGAAACUGGGGGACUUGAGUGCAGAAGAGGAAAGUGGAAUUCCAAGUGUAGCGGUGAAAUGCGUAGAGAUUUGGAGGAACACCAGUGGCGAAGGCGACUACCUGGCCUGUUCUUGACGCUGAGGCGCGAAAGCUAGGGGAGCAAACGGG